AGGAAAAGAAACCAACAGGGAUUGCCUCAGUAACGGCGAGUGAAGCGGCAACAGCUCAAAUUUGAAAUCUGGCUCCUUCGGGGUCCGAGUUGUAAUUUGCAGAGGAUGCGUCGGGUACGGGUCCCUACCGAGUUCCCUGGAACGGGACGCCAUAGAGGGUGAGAGCCCCGUCUGGUAGGAUACCCAGCCCAUGUGACGCUCCCUCGACGAGUCGAGUAGUUUGGGAAUGCUGCUCUAACGGGAGGUAUACUCCUUCCAAAGCUAAAUACCGGCUGGAGACCGAUAGCGCACAAGUAGAGUGAUCGAAAGAUGAAAAGCACUUUGAAAAGAGAGUCAAACAGCACGUGAAAUUGUUAAAAGGGAAGCACUCGCUACCAGACUUGGGUUUGGCGGUUCAACCGGGGCCACGCCCCGGGGCAUUCCGCCAGCUCAGGCCAGCAUCAGCUUUCCGUCGGGGGCAAAGACGUCGGGAAUGUGGCUCCCCCUCGGGGGAGUGUUAUAGCCCGGCGUGUCAUACCCUUCGGGGGGCUGAGGUACGCGCUUCUGCAAGGAUGCUGGCGUAAUGGUAGCUAGUGACCCGUCU
rnacentral:rRNA from 1 species